rnacentral:rRNA from 1 species
CCAAUAGCGUAUAUUAAAGUUGUUGCAGUUAAAAAGCUCGUAGUUGAAUUUCGGGAUUGACGUGAUGGUCAUGCCUUAAGGGGUAUGAACUGUUACUGUUGAUUUCUCACCUUCUGGAGAAACUUGAUGUCCUUUAUUGGGUGUCUUGCGGAUCCAGGACCUUUACCUUGAAAAAAUUAGAGUGUUUAAAGCAGGCAUUUUUGCUCGAAUCCAUUAGCAUGGAAUAAUAGAAUAGGACGGCAUGGUUCUAUUUUGUUGGUUUCUAGGAUCACCGUAAUGAUUAAUAGGGAUAGUUGGGGGCAUUAGUAUUCAAUUGUCAGAGGUGAAAUUCUUGGAUUUAUUGCAGACUAACUACUGCGAAAGUAUUUGCCAAGGAUGUUUUAAUUAAUCAAGAACGAAAGUGAGGGGAUCGAAGACGAUCAGAUACCGUCGUAGUCUUAACCAUAAACUAUGCCGACUAGGAAUCAGACGAUGUUAAUUUUUUAAUGACUCGUUUGGCACCUUACG